AAACUAACAAGGAUUCCCCUAGUAACUGCGAGUGAAGCGGGAAAAGCUCAAAUUUAAAAUCUGGCGGUCUUUGGCCGUCCGAGUUGUAAUCUAGAGAAGUGUUACCCGCGUCGGACCGUGUACAAGUCUCCUGGAAUGGAGCGUCAUAGAGGGUGAGAAUCCCGUCUUUGACACGGACUACCGAGGCUUUGUGGUGCGCUCUCAAAGAGUCGAGUUGUUUGGGAAUGCAGCUCAAAAUGGGUGGUAAAUUCCAUCUAAAGCUAAAUAUUGGCGAGAGACCGAUAGCGAACAAGUACCGUGAGGGAAAGAUGAAAAGAACUUUGGAAAGAGAGUUAAACAGUACGUGAAAUUGCUGAAAGGGAAACGCUUGAAGUCAGUCGCGUUGUCCGGGAAUCAGCCUUCCUUCUGGUUGGUGUACUUCCUGGUUGACGGGCCAGCAUCAGUUUUGACCGGUGGAAAAAGUUCAAGGGAAUGUGGCACCUCCGGGUGUGUUAUAGCCCUUGUUCGUAUACAUCGGUUGGGACUGAGGAACUCAGCACGCCGCAAGGCCGGGAUUCGUCCACGUUCGUGCUUAGGAUGCUGGCAUAAUGGCUUUAAUCGAC
rnacentral:rRNA from 1 species